AUAUCAAUAAGCGGAGGAAAAGAAACUAACAAGGAUUCCCCCAGUAACGGCGAGUGAAGUGGGAAAAGCUCAACUUUGAAAUCUGGCUGUUUUACAGUCCGAGUUGUAGUCUCGAGAAGUGUUUUCCGCGUUAAACCGUGUAUGAGUCUGUUGGAACACAGCGUCAUAGAGGGUGAGAACCCCGUUCAUGACACGGCUUUUAAUGCUUUGUGAUACACUUUCGAUGAGUCGAGUUGUUUGGGAAUGCAGCUCAAAUUGGGUGGUAAAUUCCAUCUAAAGCUAAAUAUUGGCGAGAGACCGAUAGCGCACAAGUA
rnacentral:rRNA from 1 species